GCCCGUCGCUCCUACCGAUUGGAUGACUCGGUGAAAUCACCGGAUGCUUACGAGCAGAAAGUGAUUAAAUCACGUUAUCUAGAGGAAGGAGAAGUCGUAACAAGGUAACGGUAGGUGAACCUGCCGUUGGAUCAGUUCUAGUUUUAAUAACUAACACCAAUUCUU
rnacentral:rRNA from 1 species